rnacentral:rRNA from 1 species
AUUGAACGCUGGCGGCAGGCUUAACACAUGCAAGUCGAGCGGAGAUGAGGUGCUUGCACCUUAUCUUAGCGGCGGACGGGUGAGUAAUGCUUAGGAAUCUGCCUAUUAGUGGGGGACAACAUUCCGAAAGGAAUGCUAAUACCGCAUACGUCCUACGGGAGAAAGCAGGGGAUCCUCGGACCUUGCGCUAAUAGAUGAGCCUAAGUCGGAUUAGCUAGUUGGUGGGGUAAAGGCCUACCAAGGCGACGAUCUGUAGCGGGUCUGAGAGGAUGAUCCGCCACACUGGGACUGAGACACGGCCCAGACGCCUACGGGAGGCAGCAGUGGGGAAUAUUGGACAAUGGGGGGAACCCUGAUCCAGCCAUGCCGCGUGUGUGAAGAAGGCCUUAUGGUUGUAAAGCACUUUAAGCGAGGAGGAGGCUACUGAGACUAAUACUCUUGGAUAGUGGACGUUACUCGCAGAAUAAGCACCGGCUAACUCUGUGCCAGCCGCCCUGUAACAC